CGAGAUUAAACCAGAUCACACCGGUUCAGUCAAACUCCAGGAACUCAUGAGUCACGUUACUCACUAUUAAUAAUAAUAACUCACAAACAAAAGCUGCAUGAUUGUGAACAGAUGCGUUUGCAAACACAAGACCAAUAUGUUUAUUUCAGUGACUGGAUUAAGUUGUUGUGUUAUUGUUUUACUGUCUCUGCUGUUAAAGCAACACUACACAGCUCUACAUGAGAACAGAACACGGCACGGUGUUUGAACUGGCGCCACCUGCUGGACGACACGCAGAUCAAAGCGCAGUUCCGCUUCCGGCUUCAGCGGACCCGAUGCUGAUGAGUGUGUCACGUGGCCGUCCGAAGGUCAUCGUUGGUGUCUGGGCUUCAGGACAGGACUGUGAUCUGAGAGACAUCAGAGCUGUCUGCGCAUCUGCACUCCUCCCCGUGGACUCCAGGGGUCGCUGUCGCCACCCAUAAGAGCUUCAGCAGCUCCGCACCUGAGGAUGCAUUUCUGCAUCUGCUCCUGAAAGUGAAAGCGUCUUGCUUCGAUCUCUGCCAAAGUCUGUCUGACCAUCACCGAACUUAGACGUGUCCUCAGUUGAGUGUCUCUCCCGCGGGACACAGAGGUGGGACAUAUGGACUCAGCCAAUUGUGGCAGUUCUUUU
ensembl:lncRNA